AAUUACCCAAUCCUGACACAGGGAGGUAGUGACAAGAAAUAACAAUACAGGGCUUAAAGUCUUGUAAUUGGAAUGAUGGGAAUCUAAACCCUUCCCAGAGUAUCAAUUGGAGGGCAAGUCUGGUGCCAGCAGCCGCGGUAAUUCCAGCUCCAAUAGCGUAUAUUAAAGUUGUUGCAGUUAAGAAGCUCGUAGUUGAACUUCUGCCUUGUCGUUAAAUUCGCUUCCGAGCGUUUUUUUAUUGACUUGGCAUCUUCUGGAUUUGGUUCCCUUCGGGGUUCUAUUUUCCGGGAUUUACUUUGAGAAAACUAGAGUGUUUCAAACAGGCAUUUGCCUUGAAUACUACAGCAUGGAAUAAUGAAGUAGGACUUUGGUUCUAUUUUGUUGGUUAUUGAGCCAGAGUAAUGGUUAAUAGGAGCAGUUGGGGGCAUUCGUAUUUAA
rnacentral:rRNA from 1 species